UAGAAGAUAGUGUAAUGGAAGCACCUAGAAUUUUGAUUUCUUGAGUGUGGGUUCAAUCCCAUUUUUCUAG
rnacentral:tRNA from 1 species